rnacentral:rRNA from 1 species
GCGGUAAUUCCAGCUCCAGUAGCGUAUAUGAAAUUUGUUGCGGUUGAAAAGCUCGUAGUCGGAACUAGGGCGCGCCCGCUUCGGUCAUGCCUCGCGCUUGUACUGAACGGACGCGCCCCGACGGUCGAAGGGCGUCUCCUGGGCUUCGUUGUUCGGGACCGCUGUUCGGCGAGGUUACUUUGAGGAAAUUUGAGUGUUCAAGGCACGCGCUUCGCGUGACUUCACUAGCAUGGAAUAACAUCGAUGGGCUCCUGCCAUCCUGUUGGUUUGAGGGCUUGGAGCAACGAUCGAUAGGAGUGGCUCGGGAACGUCCGUACCGACGGAGGAGAGGUGAAAUUCUUGGACCCUGUCGAGACGAACUUAUGCGAAAGCAGUCGUUAAGGACACUUCCUUGUGAUCAAGAGCGAAAGUUGGGGGAUCGAAGAUGAUUAGAUACCGUCGUAGUCCCAACCGUAAACGAUGCCGUCUAGGGAUCGUCGAGUUGGGAACGUCUGACUCGACGGCACCUUUCGAGAAAUCAAAGACUAUGGGUUCCGGGGAUAGUAUGGUGGCAACGCUGAAAUUUGAAGGAAUUGACGGAAGGGCACCACCAGGCGUGGAUGCUGCGGCUUAAUUUGACUCAACACGGGGAAACUUACGGGGUUUGGACACGGGUAGGAUGGACA